UACAGAGGUGGCAAGCGUUGUUCGGAAUUACUGGGCGUAAAGGGCGCGUAGGCGGUCGGGUCAGUCCCGUGUGAAAUCCCUCGGCUCAACUGAGGAACUGCACGGGAAACUACCUGGCUUGAGUUCGGGAGAGGGAAGCGGAAUUCCGGGUGUAGCGGUGAAAUGCGUAGAUAUCCGGAGGAACACCGGUGGCGAAGGCGGCUUCCUGGACCGACACUGACGCUGAGGCGCGAAAGCUAGGGGAGCAAACGGG
rnacentral:rRNA from 1 species